ensembl:snoRNA
AGUUGUGGUGGUUCUUUUCCAGCACAUUUGUUAAGUUUUCAAAUGGGCUUGACUCUGCCACAUACAUUAUGUAGGAGCUGGCAAAGACCUGAAGACAGAGUGGUCUCUCUUGAGCUUUUCCUGCACCUGAGAUUGGCUCCCACAUGU